CUUCUUUGGUUAUGUGUAUAAAUUGGGAGUUUGAACAGAAAUUUAAGCUUUCUCUCAACUCUAUGAUUUUAUUUUUCACUUUUUAUCCUGAUGUGCUAAGCCUUAGGAAACUAACUCCUGAUGUCACUGUUCUAGGAGUUUUUAAUGAGCAAUAUCAAAUCCCAAAUAUUUUCAAAAACAAUAAUGAAGAAAACAAACAUUGAAUGACUACACUCCAUCCUUCAGGCUCAAAGAUUUCUGAUUUGAAUCUUUGAAGACUGAGGUCAUAGGUAUAAAUCUAAGCAGAGGAUGAAGAUCCAUUAUGUUUCUUUAAAUAUUUUGGAUUUUCCCCACCACUAUAGGCAAAAUGUGGGAAGAUUGAACUGUGCUCAUAAAGAUUAUUCAAGCUCAAGUGGAAGAGAUUGUUCAUUGUCUAUGAGAAGCUCUGGGGUUUUCCUUAGGUCCCUAGGCAUUGUUUUUUUAUUUUCUUUUCAGAAAUGGAACUGAGAGUAGACUACAAACAAGCAGCUUACUGCCAAGGACAUGUGAAACCUGUUAUAUUGGUCAUUCUGGAUCCUAUUCAAGCACGUACUGUUACUAGUGAAGCCAAGGGACUAUGUAACCCCAAGGAGAAUCAGACCCAGAGACUUCACAGCAUCUGGUGGUCACAGCAGCCUGAAGAACCAGAGUGAAAGACAAGCAGCAGGAAGCAAAAGGGAUGGAGAAGAGGAUCUGUCACAUUUAGAAAGCUGGGAUUAGCAACCUGAGCAUUGUGACUGCAGAAAAGGAGAGAGCUAAUAAACAAAGAAACUCAAGUCUGAGCAGUCUGUUGCCGGAACAAGUUGACAAUACUGUUGAAGUCUGUCUAUUGGUCAGUGUCUGCCAACUUUGCUCCAGAAGAGCAGAAUGUACACCAACAAGCCUGGAUUUUUUAACAAUGAAGUUACAGCUCAGUCACCACCAUCCACUUGCAGGUGAUUUACUGGAAUUGCAGACUGACCUUCACUGGUUUUCAAGAGGCUCAGAAAAAUGCCUGGGUAACCUCCUGGCCUACCCUGCACUUGAUCUUCCAGCUACAUUUGGGAAGAUUUAGAGGAAGUAAUUACUGUUCCCGUGUUCUUAGGAAUGCUCAGCCAAAUGUUAAAUAAAAUUUUUAAAUUUAAAAAAUUUUUAAAUUUUUGUAUUCACAUAUAAAAUCAAGUUAUCACAAAAUGAAAGUUGGCUAAGAGUUUCUACACACCCAGUUUUAUUAUAUUAAUUAUAAUUACUAGAACAAAAUAGAUAAGAAAAGGUG